rnacentral:rRNA from 1 species
ACGGGUGAGUAAUGUCUGGGAAACUGCCUGAUGGAGGGGGAUAACUACUGGAAACGGUAGCUAAUACCGCAUAACGUCGCAAGACCAAUGAGGGGGACCUUAGGGCCUCUUGCCAUCGGAUGUGCCCAGAUGGGAUUAGCUAGUAGGUGGGGUAACGGCUCACCUAGGCGACGAUCCCUAGCUGGUCUGAGAGGAUGACCAGCCACACUGGAACUGAGACACGGUCCAG